AUGGCUGUCGUCAGCUCGUGCCGUGAGGUGUUGGGUUAAGUCCCGCAACGAGCGCAACCCUCGGGGCUAGUUACCGUGUCUAGCCCGACUGCCGCGACAAACGCGGAGGAAGGUGGGGAUGACGUCAAGUCAGCACGGCUCUUACAUCCUGGGCGACACACACGCUACAAUGGACGCGACAAUAGGAUGCGAAGCCGCAAGGCGGAGCCAAUCCUCCAAAGGCGUCCUCAGUUCAGAUCGGCGUCUGCAACCCGACGCCGUGAAGGCGGAGUUGCUAGUAACCGCGGGUCAGCACACCGCGGUGAAUACGUUCCCGGGCCUUGUACACACCGCCCGUCACGUCAUGAAAGCCGGCAACACCUGAAGCCGCUGGCCCAACGCGCAAGCGGGGGAGGCGUCGAGGGUGGGGCGGGUGAUUGGGACGAAGUCGUAACAAGGUAGCCGUAGCGGAAGCUGCGGCUGGAUCACCUCCUUUCUAGGGAGCCACCCGACGGUCAGGCGGAAUGGGGAACUGACCCUAUGAAGCAACGGCUGAUCGGACGGGUCAUCCCAGGUCGAUCGGACCCUGCCUGGAGACAGGAGUACGCCUCGCAAGGGGAUUGCUCGUGGCAAUCGGGGGGGAUCCGCGAUCGGCUCUGCUUUCUGGUCACUCUUCACGGGGGAACGUGCCCUUGGGGAUCGGGCUGCCCGUCGUGUGAGCACCGCCACCCGAUCCCGUGGGCCUUUAGCUCAGUUGGGUAGAGCGCAGUCCUGAUAAGACUGAGGUCCCUGGUUCGAGCCCAGAAAGGCCCACCUCCCGGACGAUGGCCCUCUCACGAGCGCCGUCAGCGGGGACGCACCUUACCAAGUGAAGACGGCACAGACAAGCAAGAAGAGGUCGCAAGAGCGAGGGCGCGCUGGUGCGCAAAGAGACACACAGCAGACGGUGAAUGCCCUGGCGAUGUGAGGCCGACGAAGGACGGAGCACGGCGCCGAAACGUGCGGGGGAGGAGCCUAGCAUCCGUAGAUCCCGCGCUGUCCGAAUGGGGAAACCCGG
rnacentral:sRNA from 1 species